rnacentral:rRNA from 1 species
GACGAACGCUGGCGGCGUGCUUAACACAUGCAAGUCGAACGGAAAGGCCCUGCUUUUGUGGGGUGCUCGAGUGGCGAACGGGUGAGUAACACGUGAGUAACCUGCCCUUGACUUUGGGAUAACUUCAGGAAACUGGGGCUAAUACCGGAUAGGAGCUCCUGCUGCAUGGUGGGGGUUGGAAAGUUUCGGCGGUUGGGGAUGGACUCGCGGCUUAUCAGCUUGUUGGUGGGGUAGUGGCUUACCAAGGCUUUGACGGGUAGCCGGCCUGGGAGGGUGAACGGCGACAAGGGGACUGAGAGAGGGCGCAGUCGGCAACGGGAGGCAGCAGGGGGGAAUAUGGCACAAUGGGCGGAAGCGGGAUGCGGCAACGCCGCGGGCGGGAUGACGGCCUUCGGGGUGUGAACCGCUUUCGCCUGUGACGAAGCGUGAGUGACGGUAAUGGGUAAAGAAGCACCGGCUAACUACGUG